rnacentral:rRNA from 1 species
AUUGAACGCUGGCGGCAUGCUUUACACAUGCAAGUCGAACGGUAACAGGCCGCGAGGUGCUGACGAGUGGCGAACGGGUGAGUAAUGCAUCGGAACGUGCCCAGUCGUGGGGGAUAACUAUCCGAAAGGAUAGCUAAUACCGCAUACGAUCUGCGGAUGAAAGCGGGGGACCUUCGGGCCUCGCGCGAUUGGAGCGGCCGAUGUCAGAUUAGGUAGUUGGUGGGGUAAAGGCUCACCAAGCCAACGAUCUGUAGCUGGUCUGAGAGGACGACCAGCCACACUGGGACUGAGACACGGCCCAGACUCCUACGGGAGGCAGCAGUGGGGAAUUUUGGACAAUGGGCGCAAGCCUGAUCCAGCAAUGCCGCGUGCAGGAAGAAGGCCUUCGGGUUGUAAACUGCUUUUGUACGGAACGAAACGGCUCUGGUUAAUACCUGGGGCUAAUGACGGUACCGUAGGAAUAAGCACCGGCUAACUACGUGCCAGCCGCCGCAGUAA